rnacentral:rRNA from 1 species
CCCUUAGAUGUUCUGGGCCGCACGCGCGCUACACUGACGAUGGCAACGAGUUUUUCCUUCGCCGAAAGGUGUGGGUAAUCUUUUGAAACAUCGUCGUGCUGGGGGUAGAUCAUUGCAAUUUUUGAUCUUGAACGAGGAAUUCCUAGUAAGCGCGAGUCAUCAGCUCGCGUUGAUUACGUCCCUGCCCUUUGUACACACCGCCCGUCGCUACUACCGAUUGAAUGGUUUAGUGAGGACUCCUGAUUGGCGCCGCCGCCCCGGCAACGGAGCAGCGGACUGCCGAAAAGUUGUUCAAACUUGAUCAUUUAGAGGAAGUAAAAGUCGUAACA